rnacentral:rRNA from 1 species
GAUGAACGCUGGCGGCGCGCCUAACACAUGCAAGUCGAACGGCACCCCUCCUCGGAGGGAAGCGAGUGGCGAACGGCUGAGUAACACGUGGAGAACCUGCCCCCUCCCCCGGGAUAGCCGCCCGAAAGGACGGGUAAUACCGGAUACCCCGUGGUGCCGCAUGGCACCCCGGCUAAAGCCCCGACGGGAGGGGAUGGCUCCGCGGCCCAUCAGGUAGACGGCGGGGUGACGGCCCACCGUGCCGACAACGGGUAGCCGGGUUGAGAGACCGACCGGCCAGAUUGGGACUGAGACACGGGCCAGGCUCCUACGGGAGGCAGCAGUGGGGAAUCUUGCGCAAUGGGGGGAACCCUGACGCAGCGACGCCGCGUGCGGGACGGAGGCCUUCGGGUCGUAAACCGCUUUCAGCAGGGAAGAGUCAAGACUGUACCUGCAGAAGAAGCCCCGGCUAACUACGUG